GAUGAAUCCUAUGGAAAAUGAAGCUCAAGUUCAAGGAGGUGCUCUUGUUUUAGGUGUUCUUAAUCCAUCCAGAGUGAAUGGAGCCUUGUGGUUUAAGCGUGAUAAGAAAAAUAAUUUGAUCUGAUUUUCCUGGUCCAUAUCGAAACUACUCAACAAUACCAAUAGCUGUUAAGGAGCGAUGGUUUAACACAUUUAGGAGAAAAUUCAAUUGGAAUCCCAUCAUUGAACAUGAGGUGCUUACAAUGUUUCACAAAUGUGCUGCAACUAAGCUAAUUGAUAUGAUUAGCCGAGUUAAAGAAAGGGGUCAACAGCCAUAUUGGAUCCUUGAUGAUCAAUACAAAGUUCAGGGGUUAAUACCUAGGGGAAACAGCCAGUUUGUUCUAUUAUUUUUAAUACCUAGG